rnacentral:rRNA from 1 species
UGGGGAAUAUUGCACAAUGGGCGAAAGCCUGAUGCAGCAACGCCGCGUGAGCGAGGAAGGCCUUUGGGUCGUAAAGCUCUGUCGAGGAGGAAGAUAAUGACGGUACUCCUCGAGGAAGCCCCGGCUAACUACGUGCCAGCAGCCGCGGUAAUACGUAGGGGGCGAGCGUUAUCCGGAAUUAUUGGGCGUAAAGAGUGCGUAGGUGGUUUUUUAAGCGUGGGGUGAAAGGCAAUAGCUUAACUAUUGUAAGCCCCGCGAACUGGGAGACUUGAGUGCAGGAGAGGAAAGCGGAAUUCCUAGUGUAGCGGUGAAAUGCGUAGAUAUUAGGAGGAACACCAGUGGCGAAGGCGGCUUUCUGGACUGUAACUGACUCUGAGGCACGAAAGCGUGGGGAGCAAACAG